CGUGAUCACAACCUUUUCCGGCGGUCUGGUGAGAGAGAGCGUUGCCUCGGAGACGCGGCGGUAACCUAGGACCAAUCCUUCAAGAAAAUCGCUGUCUGGAGGAGGUGGAAAAAUGACUGUGGGGUUAAUGGAACAUUGUACCAAAGAGAUGCCAAGGGAACUUGGGUGGGAAGGACAGCCUGGAUAAGCGGAUGUCGAAUAAAGACGUUUUAUCGAGGGACGUGAGGCGUCGGUGGAACUGACUAACUGAAUCUCAGCCAGAAAUGUCGGGCUGCACUCAAAGGCCUCAGAUCUAGGUCUUCUCUUUUCCUCACUGGUCUAGUGCCUCGCCCGCUGCAAGGCAGCGAUUAGACUUUAGAGUUGCGGGGUGUUGGUAACGUCUCUGUAGCUUUGCCUCCCGCACUUAGAGUUUUAGCUAGGUUCUAUUGAGAGAGCUGGUUCUGCCCAGUGAACUAAAAGGUACUAUGGACAGCUAGAGCAAGCAUUACAAAAGACCGUCUGUGGAGAAAACCUCCUUUCCCCGUCCGCUCCCCCACGAAUGUAAACUGCUCUCAGGAUUUAGGAAUUAAGCAUUUUGCUUUUCCGAGGCUACAAACAGUUGUAAUUUUUUCUUUUUCCUGGUGCAUCUAAGUCACUUAGUGUCUUUAAAGUCUAGUGAUACUGUUCAAGAUUGACAUCCUAGUUGAACAACUAAGAGGACUUCUGAACAGAGUCCUUUACUACCUGUUUUCAUGGGCUCCAUGGGCUCUUCGGGCAAAGUCCUUCUCCCUAGACUCGAUCGAGCCUUCCAUGGAUUCUUCCUGUGUCCCUACUUCCCCACUGGACGUCCAGGAUUCUGAGGGCUUUCAGAAGAGAAUCUUGACACACGAUUCUUAAUCAACCAGACGCGACCCUUUCUUUGAAGCGAUAACGUCAUUCAUUGGGUUGGCCAGGAACAGAUGAUCCUCCUUCUGAAGUAUAGUCAGAAGACCAAUAGUAGCCUAAUGCUUCAUCACGAUGCCUAUGGCAUUUAUCUCACUUUAUCUCAUCAUGUAGGACUUUUAUCACCUCACAUCCUCUCAAGAAGAAGGCUAAUGAUGUCUUUCACACAUCAUUGCAUCUAUUCGUUGGAAAC